GAUGAACGCUGGCGGCGUGCCUAAUACAUGCAAGUCGAGCGAACGGACGAGAAGCUUGCUUCUCUGAUGUUAGCGGCGGACGGGUGAGUAACACGUGGAUAACCUACCUAUAAGACUGGGAUAACUUCGGGAAACCGGAGCUAAUACCGGAUAAUAUUUUGAACCGCAUGGUUCAAAAGUGAAAGACGGUCUUGCUGUCACUUAUAGAUGGAUCCGCGCUGCAUUAGCUAGUUGGUAAGGUAACGGCUUACCAAGGCAACGAUGCAUAGCCGACCUGAGAGGGUGAUCGGCCACACGGGAACUGAGACACGGUCCAGACUCCUACGGGAGGCACCAGCAGGGAAUCUUCCGCAAUGGGCGAAAGCCUGACGGAGCAACGCCGCGUGAGUGAUGAAGGUCUUCGGAUCGUAAAACUCUGUUAUUAGGGAAGAACAUAUGUGUAAGUAACUGUGCACAUCGUGACGGUACCUAAUCAGAAAGCCACGGCUAACUACGUG
rnacentral:rRNA from 1 species